GGGCACUUGGUGUAGAUGGUUAUCACGCUCGCUUAGCAUGCGAGAGGGGACCGGUUCAAUUCCGGUAGUGUCCA
rnacentral:tRNA from 1 species